rnacentral:lncRNA from 1 species
CUCCAGUCCUCUCCUCACAGUGUGGAAACACUCUUUCCUUCAAAACCUUCAUUUGUACCAGCAGGAAACUCUCACCCGAAGUCAAUGUAAAGUCAUGACCUAAAUAAACUGUCAUGUUCCCAAACCUUUUCUCCAGGGGACAAUGCAAACAAGUUUUUCACUGAGCCUGACCUUCACAGAUUUUCUUCAUGUAUACAAAUUACAGCCUGACCUCAGCGACCCCAUGAAUGCUAAAACCAAAACACUGUCCAGGAAAUGGCCCCAGGCGCCAAAGGCUCCAGACUGGUCUCAGGCUCUCCUGCCCACUGCAGUUUAUUCACUUGCUUCUCACCAACACUGAUCCACUUAGGUAAGAAAAAAGACCUUCAAUCCCCUUUGCUGUUUGUUUGUUUGUUUGUUUUUAAGAAACUAGCAGAGUUCCUGCUUUCCUUCUGUGGUUAUGUAUAAGCUGGAAGACAAAAAAUUCUAAAAUACUUUAUAUGGAUUUUAAAACUGGCAAGUAAUGAUUCCUUUGAGAAAACAAAGAUAUCAGCUAUGCUAUUAUGAUUUAUA